GUUCCCUUCCCUCACGCCAUCAGCUGCUAUGGACAUGACGUGCCCCGAUGCGGCGGUCUUCAUCCCCGCCUCCCACCACCAUCGAGAUCUUCUCCUCCCCAUCCACGACCAUCUGCAAGAGCCAGAGCAGGGGGGCGCUCUGCGAGGGAGGCACUGGCUCCGCCCAGAUCGGCCGGCCGCCCCGUGUGGUUUGGUGGGAUGUGGAGAUGUCGUGGGUGUGGAGAUGGCUGCUGGAGAAGCUGGGAAGGUGGGACGGAGGAGAAGGAUCAUGGGGCUACGGUGAUCUGUAGUGGGGGUGGGACUAGGAUCUUCGAGGGGAGGAGGAGGCGGCGUCUCGGUUAGUACAACAUGAAGCAUAUCAUCACGGCUUCCAAGGUCGCCCAAGCCAUGGAGCUCUCUAAGAGGGUCCUCUCUUUCGCCGGUGCCAUGGCCGUCCACGGGGGCCGCCUGCUCUGCGUCGGCUCCUACGACUCCCCCAAGGUCUCCGUCCGAUUUUCUGCCCCUGUCCCCCUAGAGAUUAGGUUUGUUUGUUUUAUUCUAUUGUGCCGGUAAUCUUUCGUUUUGUUUUGUCCAUCACAGUGACAGAACUCUUUCGUUUUGUUUUAUUCUAUUGUGCCGGUAAUCAAUUUCUCAAAACCACUUGUUCUGUCACUGUACAUUGUCCCUUGUGUUCUGCUCAAAAUUGAUUGUGGGAUGUGAAGUGGAGUACAUGGAUUCAAGGGCCGCCAAAUGUAUGAGCUAAAUCUCAGUGGGAAUAUGGUUCUCCCGGGAUUCAUCGACUCCCAUGUCCACCUAAUAUAGUGAUGCCGGAAGAAUUAGAAAAUUCAGAGUUAAGGCACGUGAUCUUCACGAGUUACUUUCCAAUUUUUAUGCAGUCUUUUGAAUGAGAGUAUGUUUGGAUUGUUGAUUCAAAGAACCUAUAUCUAUAUUUCAAGUCAGGUCAGCUUACUGAGAAGCUCAUAAAGGAGAUUACAGUACUAGAGCUAGAAAUCAUAUGCUUGGAGCAGCAUCUCCUGACACUCUACCGGCAGGCCCUUUAUCAACAAUUAUGCAGUACAAUUUUUGCUUAGUUGUUGCCUAUGUUGGUCGACGAGAGUCGCCCAUUGCUGUUCUGAUUGUUUCCCUGCCAUAUUUGAUUAAUUCCAUACUUAGCAAAGAAGAGUACACUUCAGCAUCGAUUCAAUAUUGUCACUGGUUUGCUAAUUAAGAUGUGUAGGUUUCUUUCAAGGCACCAAAUCAUCUUGAAUCUCUUUAAUUAAUCGGCAAAUUUUACAUGGUUGUCGUGUCUAUUUCUAAUCUAUGUAAUAACUAAUACUUCAUAUAUUUGGAAUUCCAAUUACUUUGUUGAUAUUCAAGAAAUCCAUAAUCUUGCUACUUUUUUAAUGUGUGCUUAUCCUAUAACCUUAGUAUAGCUUACAAAAUGUCAAUGUACUUCACUUCCUGAUAGUAUACUGCCAUUUGCCACUGGUUACAAGUAUUAUUUAUGUUGACAAUCAAUUAGCACGCUACUCAUCCUAAUUGUUUUACAGUCUCACGUUCACAUUAGUUGUUUCUCUACAUGGAGACUCGGCUUUAUUUGUCUAUGGUUGGGGCGAUUCUUGUGACAUGUGGCUCGAGCGGAUGUCGCUGAUGUGACGAUAAGAAAAUCCUCUCGGUGCACGGGAGUUUCUAUGGAACUGUCACUCAAGGAGGAUCCGACAUAGCUCAGACUUGAGAGAUAUCCUCAUGGUCAACAAGGAUUGAUCCUGAUUCAAUAUGGAAAGUGUUUCUUUCCUGUGUGUGUCAUAUACAUGUAUUAUUUCUUCGGCAUUCAUACUUAAGGAAACACUUGUUUCAUUGGUUCAUCGCAGCUUGCCAUUUGUUGAGAGUUUUUAGUUCAGUUAGAAAACUUCACUUUGAUUCUGCACCACAAUUUCUAACAAUUCAAUGAAGGUCUGACUUUGUUUUA